rnacentral:rRNA from 1 species
GGGGGGGGGGGGGGGGGGGGGGGGGGGGGGGAGGGGGGGGGGGGGGGGGCGGGGGGGGGGGGGUGCGGGAGGGGCGGGCGGGUGAGUAACACGUGAGUAACCGGCCCUGGACUUUGGGAUAACUUCAGGAAACUGGGGCUAAUACCGGAUAGGAGCUCCUGCUGCAUGGUGGGGGUUGGAAAGUUUCGGCGGUUGGGGAUGGACUCGCGGCUUAUCAGCUUGUUGGUGGGGUAGUGGCUUACCAAGGCUUUGACGGGUAGCCGGCCUGAGAGGGUGACCGGCCACAUUGGGACUGAGAUACGGCCCAGACUCCUACGGGAGGCAGCAGUGGGGAAUAUUGCACAAUGGGCGGAAGCCUGAUGCAGCAACGCCGCGUGCGGGAUGACGGCCUUCGGGUUGUAAACCGCUUUCGCCUGUGACGAAGCGUGAGUGACGGUAAUGGGUAAAGAAGCACCGGCUAACUACGUG